rnacentral:rRNA from 1 species
UACAGAUGGGGCAAGCGUUGUUCGGAAUUACUGGGCGUAAAGGGCGCGUAGGCGGCCUGUUAAGUCGAACGUGAAAUCCCCGGGCUCAACCCGGGAACUGCGUCCGAAACUGGCAGGCUCGAAUCCGGGAGAGGGAUGCGGAAUUCCAGGUGUAGCGGUGAAAUGCGUAGAUAUCGGGAGGAACAUCAGUGGCGAAGGCGGCCUUCUGGUCCAGUACUGACACUCAAGUGCGAAAGCGUGGGGAGCAAACAGG